CUCAAAGGAAUUGACGGGGGCCCGCACAAGCGGUGGAUUAUGUGGAUUAAUUCGAUGCAACGCGAAAAACCUUACCUGGCCUUGACAUGUACGGAACUUUCCANAGAUGGAUUGGUGCCCNAAAGGGAACCGUAACACAGGUGCUGCAUGGCUGUCGUCAGCUCGUGUCGUGAGAUGUUGGGUUAAGUCCCGCAACGAGCGCAACCCUUGCCAUUAAUUGCCAUCAUUUAGUUGGGCACUUUAAUGGGACUGCCGGUGACAAACCGGAGGAAGGUGGGGAUGACGUCAAGUCCUCAUGGCCCUUAUGGCCAGGGCUUCACACGUAAUACAAUGGUCGGUACACAGGGUUGCCAACCCGCGAGGGGGAGCCAAUCCCACAAAGCCGAUCUUAGUCCGGAUUGCAGUCUGCAACUCGACUGCAUGAAGUCGGAAUCGCUAGUAGCCGCCGAUCAGCAUGUCGCGGUGAAUACGUUCCCGGGCCUUGUACACACCGCGCCGUUACACCAUGGGAAUGGGUUCCACCAGAAGUAGGAGUCCUAGCGCAAGGGAGGACGCUUACNACGGGGGGGUUUUUGACUUGGGUGAAGACUUAAAAAGUACCGUAUGGGAAGUGCGCCGGAUCACCUUNUUUCUGAAGA
rnacentral:rRNA from 1 species